UACGUAGGGUGCAAGCGUUAAUCGGAAUUACUGGGCGUAAAGCGUGCGCAAGCGGCUUUGCAAGACAGAUGUGAAAUCCCCGGGCUUAACCUGGGAACUGCAUUUGUGACUGCAUCGCUGGAGUGCGGCAGAGGGGGGAUGGAAUUCCGCGUGUAGCAGUGAAAUGCGUAGAUAUGCGGAGGAACACCGAUGGCGAAGGCAAUCCCCUGGGCCUGCACUGACGCUCAUGCACGAAAGCGUGGGGAGCAAACAGG
rnacentral:rRNA from 1 species